AGAGUUUGAUCCUGGCUCAGGAUGAACGCUAGCGGCAGGCCUAACACAUGCAAGUCGAGGGGUAUUAGGAGCUUGCUUCUGAGAGACCGGCGCACGGGUGAGUAACGCGUAUGCAAUCUACCUUUCACAAGAGAAUAGCCCGGAGAAAUCCGGAUUAAUGCUCUAUAGUUUAUAGAACUGGCAUCGGUUUUAUAAUAAAGAUUUAUCGGUGAAAGAUGAGCAUGCGUCUCAUUAGCUAGUUGGUGUGGUAACGGCAUACCAAGGCAAUGAUGAGUAGGGGUCCUGAGGGGGAGAUCCCCCACACUGGUACUGAGACACGGACCAGACUCCUACGGGAAGGCAGCAGUGAGGAAUAUUGGUCAAUGGAGGCAACUCUGAACCAGCCAUGCCGCGUGCAGGAUGACGAUCCUAUGGAUUGUAAACUGCUUUUGUACAGGAAGAAAUGCAA
rnacentral:rRNA from 1 species